rnacentral:rRNA from 1 species
ACGUAGGGGGCGAGCGUUGUCCGGAUUUACUGGGCGUAAAGAGCGCGUAGGCGGUGAGUUUAGUCGUGCGUGAAAUACCUCGGCUCAACCGGGGGGUGUCGCGCGAUACUGGCUCACUUGAGGCUGGUAGGGGGAAGUGGAAUUCCCGGUGUAGUGGUGGAAUGCGUAGAUAUCGGGAGGAACACCAGUGGCGAAGGCGGCUUCCUGGACCAGUCCUGACGCUGAGGCGCGAAAGCGUGGGGAGCGAACUGAAUUAGAUACUCAGGUAGUCCACGCCGUAAACGAUGGAUGCUAGGUGUCGGGGGUAUCGACCCCUCCGGUGCCGCAGCUAACGCAUUAAGCAUCCCGCCUGGGGAGUACGGCCGCAAGGCUA